GACUUUCAGGAUUCCUGGGCUGGGGACAGGGAGAGGAAGAAGAGAAAGAUCCGCCAUGCUGGAAAAAGGAGAACUAAGAUGCCACACCCGAGAAGCUCAGGACAGAGAACAUAGCCGCCAUAUUGGAGUAAGGGGAUCCCAGCCCAAGAUGGUCUGGGUAUAGGGCAGCAAAGAUGGAAAACAGUUAGGGACUCCAUCCAAUAAAGGCAAAUAAAGAGAGCCUGAAAGUAUAGCUUGGCACCUACGCAGCAAGCCACUCCUGUCUACAGUGCUCAUGAACCUUCCAGAAUCAUGGAGAAGACCUGCCGUGCAUGGCCCUUAUUGCAAACUGAAAGUGUUUCGAGGCCCAAGGUGGAAAGAAAAAAAAAAGAAGAAAGCAAACCUGGGAAACACAGAAUUCAUUCAGCCCCUUGUAGUCCCGCACUUUGGUCACAGAGGAAACAUCCCCUGACAGCCUGGUGUUCGAAUCUAAUGUGGUCAAAGCAAACUAUGGAGCCGGACCUAUGCAAAUCUCUACAGAAACUCGAGGUUUGCUUCUGCCACAUCUGGGUCUCCCGAGGUCGGAGAGGAUCGUCUUUAAUAUUCCUUGGUAGAUUCCAGAAAACCGCAAAAGGAUUUAACCAAAAGGAAGCAAAGGUUUUCUUUUUAUAAAUUCGAUUAGUCUUUUCCACUUUCUCUGCCUCCGGACAUUUCCUCUGGGAGGAAUUUUAUACCCAGACACCCCUUUGCGAGGCACUGUUGCAUGCGGAGCGCAGAGAACUUAAGCGCAACCUGGAGGAGCAUUUGCGGUUCCCGGUCCAUUCCAUUCUUAAAUGCCGGUGUGGGAAUAGCUCUGCAAGAAGAGGAAGAUGAAGUUUGCGGCGCACAGGGAGUAAGGGAUUCACUGCUCGGGUGGAACCCUGCCUCAGCUGCGCUAGACUGAAUUUCCUUCUAGACCCAGCACCUGGAAACCCUGUCUUCCCGCGGGGACACAGGUCUUGAGAACGUCGUUGCUGGUGGGCAACGGUACCUCUCCGCUCUUUAUCUUUGACCUUCACUUCUCCAGCAAUCAGCUGCUGGGCAGCGCUCACAGUUCACUCUCCAAGGCCUCGGGUUCGAAGCUGCUGCGCCAAGGUCUGAGAAGAGGUUAGGAUUUGAACUGCAGUUCGCUUAAGAAGAGUCUGACAUUCUCAGGAAAGCAGAGUCCCAAACCUGGGGAAAGGCGAAGCUACGGAAUGCUUUUCCAAUUUUGACUUUUGUUUUAAGUCAGCACCGCCACCCCAAGCCCUAAGUCUAGAAAAGAAUACUUAGAAGCCACUUCAAUCUUUCUUCCCUGUUCUUCCCACCCCCACACUGCAGGCAUCCAGACAAGAAAACACAAAUAAACCCCAGGUGGUUAAUGGUGGUGCAUCCAGGCGCUCCAUCCCCAAACACACACACACACACACACACACACACACACACACACACACACACACACACACACACACACACACACGGAGCACACCAUCCACUUGAUCCCACCCACCACCGGGGAGGGGAGGGACUGGGAACCUGAUCUCCCGGCUCCUGCCCAGUACGUUUCCCCAUCAAUAAUGUUGAUACCAUCGAAGUGCCUGCUCCCCGCCCCCGGGGCGCCGCUGCCGCCUUUUUGCCGCUUUUUGCCCGGCAUAGGAAAACGAAACCUCCUCUACUGCCCUUGUAGCCCCUGCCUGGAGCCUGGGCUGGAAAUUUCGGAAGCUGGGACACAGCCAGAGCGCUUAGGGCCCACCUCCACUUGUAGAGUGGGUGCUCAAACUGCACAGAUGGAACCUGAAAAAGAGUCAGGGGCCCACAUAAGGCCUCAAUCACAUCCCACACCAGGGUCAGACUGGGCCAUAAUUAGAAAACUUUGCGGGUAGAAGAACCAGGCCUCAGAACAGAAGGCCUUCAUGCGACCACCCCUUCCUAAAAUUGGAGCUCAAACAAAGAAGUCCGGAAACACCUUCCUUGAAAAUUUCUCUAUGGCCGCAGCCCUAGACCACCGCCCUCGGGCCAGCCAACUCACCGCGGACAAACUAGACCUCGGGAAACUGAGGCUAUACUGUGGAGGGAACAUAGACAUCCCCGCACCCCAAAGGCAGUUUGUACAAUUGCUAAGUGCCUCCACAGGGUCCGUUUCGUCUUGGUCUGAGAGGUCGCGACCCCCACGCAGCUGUCACCUCAUUUGGGGCUAUCCCCAUUCCCUAUUGGGUAUCUGUCCCUAAAUACCAGCCCCCCACCCCCCACCCCAGGAUCCUACAAGCCACAACCUCUUCGCCGUAUUUCCCAGGAGCAGCCCCCAUCCAUGGUUUGGAGGACUCGACCCUAUGGAGCGCCCUGGCCUGGAGGUGUGCAGGUUAGAAGGAACCCCAGCUGUGGCACCUCACUAUCCUUCUCUUUCCCGACCCGUUCAAAAAUAAAAAAAUAAACCCCAAU
rnacentral:lncRNA from 1 species